GUAAUAUUCGACAACUUCCACCUCCCUUCUUCCACCUUCCCUUCAAUCCAUGGAAAUGUUUCCAGAGACUGCGAAUGAAAGAUACGAUUGAAAAUGUUCUCAACUUAUAAUGUAUUACCCAAUACUUUUAUGAUCAAUUUGGAAAUGUAAUCUCUCUCUCUCUCUCUCUCUCUCUCUCUCUCUCUCUUAGUUUUAAUAGUAUAUUAUAUUAAAGUCUGAUGAGAUUCAUAGUCGAUUUUUCAAACACGACUAUGUAAUUAAAAUGUAUUCAAAUAACGUAAUAUAUCUAAAUAAUUCGUGGAAUGGUUGGGAAAGUUUAAGGAACACUAUUAUAUACAUAUUGACGACUUUAUUUUGUCUACAAUCUUUCCAAAAUACAUCUUAAGGAAAAAUUUGAAUAUCAAUAUGUAUUAUAUAUAAAUGAAAGUUACAGUUAUUAGGAUUGUAUCAGUGAAAUAUUCAUUAUACUCGUGAUACUUUUUUGGCAAUUCGAUAAUUUAGCAUACUUUUACUAUGCUCCAGGCAAUAAUAUGAUUUGGAAAUACCCGUUAGAGACACGAGCGAACACAUCUACUAAUCAAAUUCACAUUGAAUAAAUAAAUCGUGAAGAAAAUACUUUACUCGAUUGAAAACGAUUUUUUGAUUUUGUUCUACGAUUUCGUCAAUAUUGUUUAAUUCCAUUGUUUUAUCGAUGUUCCUAUUAAUUAUCAUUGAACAAUCAUAGUCAAUUUAAUGAAUAAUCAAAAACAUUGAUUAUAAUACAAUUAUAAUUAAAUCUACUGUAUCAUAUCUACUGUAAAACAUAAAGCUGAUAAAAAAUAAUGUUUAAAUAUGAUAAUGUCUUUUAGAUAUUUAAAUACUCAUACUAUAAUAUGAUGUAAUACACAGCCUAAUAGUGAGAAGAAAAAAAAAGCAAUAACGAGCUAAAUGUAAGGAAAUUACGAUCAAGGGAUAAGUAAGAAAAAUAUAGUUCAUAGCCACUAUGGAUUGGAUUUCUUUUUAUAAUUUCGUUAUAAUUGGGAAAGAAAGAAAAGAAAUGAACAAAUUAUUAUAAUAUUUUAAUCUAAUCUUCGAUCUGAUAAACGGUUAACGUCUUCGUAUGUAUUUUCGCGCUUACUGCAAGGAAACAAAAAUACAUCUAUAAAAUAAAAUCAACAGAACAAUCAACAUUGUAUAGAAAAGAAUUCAGUUUACUAUGACUAAUAAUAUUAAUCCUCUCCAUAAGAAAAGAAAAAAAGAAAAUAUGUUAGAAAAUACAGUAUGAAUGUAAGACUAUGAAAUAAAAGAAAAGAAAAAAAGAGAAAAAAACGAAAAAAACGAAAAAAA